rnacentral:misc_RNA from 1 species
GUGUGUUGUGUUGUAUUUUGUGUGUUUAGACAAGGAUUAAAAAGAUAAUAUGUUGGAGCGUGCUGUUGGCAAAAGGUUAUCCUUUGCCAACAACUCCACAGAAACAGUUCACAAAAGAUUGGUAGGGGCUUCCCCCCCCCAAAUCACUGAUGAUCCUUCCGCAGGUUCACCUACGGAAA